AUGUGGAAAUGGCCAAAUAAGGCACAAUGUUAUCUGGUGUGAACUAAUCAGAGUGGGACAUGACAGCACGGUUAUCUAGGUAAAAAUGUAUAUAAGCUGUGUUUAGUAGUGAAUAAACGCCAUUUGCCUCACUUACUCCUGGGGUCUGGGUGAGCAUCUGGCCCCGACCUGGUAAAGGGUCGGUUUCGCCCAGCAGUAAGCCCUACAUGUGGACAGAGGACGAACACCGGACGAGCGAACGGAGACUACAUGCAACACAGCCCCAACGGGUAAAAUGUUCAGGCUUACUCUCCCAGAUGCCCUGAGUGAGUGCUGUAGAUCCUCCUAACAAAUACAUGCAUGAAACAUGGAAACAAGGAUGGGAAGACUGAUGGUUCUUCCUGCAGCAUGUUGGUUUCUAUGACUCCAAAAGGAGCUCAGACACUGAAGUGACAAAAAACUUGCUAAAAUCUGCUAAAAUAGAUCAGGGCAAUUAAAAGUAUGUCUCACUUUGGUCGGUGUGCUUAGGAUCCAUCAAGAAAAACAGAAAGCAGAGAUGGAUGCAUGUAUGCACAUUAAAUGGAAGUAUUAAGUAUUAGAUAAUAGCAGUGUAACUAAAAGAACUAAAUAAUAAAUUUCUGCUUCUUGAUU
rnacentral:lncRNA from 1 species